rnacentral:rRNA from 1 species
CGAAUUGUAAUCUAGAGAAGUGUAACCUGUGCUGGACCAUGUACAAGUCUCCUGGAAUGGAGCAUCAUAGAGGGUGAGAAUCCUGUCUUUGACAUGGACUACCAGUGCAAUGUGGUGUGCUCUCAAAGAGUCGAGUUGUUUGGGAAUGCAGCUCUAAAUGGGUGGUAAACUCCAUCUAAAGCUAAAUAUUGGCAAGAGACCGAUAGCGAACAAGUACCGUGAGGGAAAGAUGAAAAGAACUUUGGAAAGAGAGUUAAACAGUAUGUGAAAUUGUUGAAAGGGAAACACUUAAAGUCAGUGAUGUCGGCCAGGGAUCAAGCCAGCAUUUUGCUGGGUGUACUUCCUGAUCUGACAGGUCAACAUGAGUUUUGACUGCUGGAAAAGGAUAGGGGGAAUGUGGCACCUUCGGGUGUGUUAUAGCUCUCUGUCAGAUGCAGUGGUUGGGACUGAGGAAGGCAGCACGCCAUUUGGCCGAGUCGUUUCGACUACGUUCGUGCUGAGGAUGUUGGCAUAAUGGCUUUAAUUGACCCGUCUUGAAACACGGACCAAGGAGUCUAACAUGGCUGCGAGUGUUUGGGUGGCAAACCCUUGCGCGAAAUGAAAGUGAAAAGUUGAGAUCCCUGUCAUAGGGAGCAUCGAUGCCCGGACCUGAGCUUUCAGCAAAGGAUCUGCGGUAGAGCAAGCAUGUUAGGACCCGAAAGAUGGUGAACUAUGCCUGAAUAGGGUGAAGCCAGAGGAAACUCUGGUGGAGGCUCGUAGCGAUUCUGACGUGCAAAUCGAUCGUCAAAUUUGGGUAUAGGGGCGAAAG